GACGAACGCUGGCGGCGUGCUUAACACAUGCAAGUCGAACGGUAAGGCCCUUCGGGGUACACGAGUGGCGAACGGGUGAGUAACACGUGGGUGAUCCGCCCUGCACUUCGGGAUAAGCCUGGGAAACUGGGUCUAAUACCGGCUAGGACCACUGCCUACAUGGGUGGUGGUGGAAAGCUUUUGCGGUGUGGGAUGGGCCCGCGGCCUAUCAGCUUGUUGGUGGGGUGAUGGCCUACCAAGGCGACGACGGGUAGCCGGCCUGAGAGGGUGACCGGCCACACUGGGACUGAGAUACGGCCCAGACUCCUACGGGAGGCAGCAGUGGGGAAUAUUGCACAAUGGGCGCAAGCCUGAUGCAGCGACGCCGCGUGAGGGAUGACGGCCUUCGGGUUGUAAACCUCUUUCAGCACCGACGAAGCGCAAGUGACGGUAGGUGCAGAAGAAGGACCGGCCAACUACGUGCCAGCCGCCGCCGUAA
rnacentral:rRNA from 1 species